GACGAACGCUGGCGGCGUGCUUAACACAUGCAAGUCGAACGGAAAGGCCCAGCUUUUGUUGGGUGCUCGAGUGGCGAACGGGUGAGUAACACGUGAGUAACCUGCCCUUGACUUUGGGAUAACUUCAGGAAACUGGGGCUAAUACCGGAUAGGAGCUCCUGCUGCAUGGUGGGGGUUGGAAAGUUUCGGCGGUUGGGGAUGGACUCGCGGCUUAUCAGCUUGUUGGUGGGGUAGUGGCUUACCAAGGCUUUGACGGGUAGCCGGCCUGAGAGGGUGACCGGCCACAUUGGGACUGAGAUACGGCCCAGACUCCUACGGGAGGCAGCAGUGGGGAAUAUUGCACAAUGGGCGGAAGCCUGAUGCAGCAACGCCGCGUGCGGGAUGACGGCCUUCGGGUUGUAAACCGCUUUCGCCUGUGACGAAGAGUGAGUGACGGUAAUGGGUAAAGAAGCAACGGCUAACUACGUG
rnacentral:rRNA from 1 species